GAUGAAGAACGCAGCGAAAUGCGAUAAGUAAUGUGAAUUGCAGAAUUCAGUGAAUCAUCGAAUCUUUGAACGCACAUUGCGCCCGCCAGUAUUCUGGCGGGCAUGCCUGUUCGAGCGUCAUUACAACCCUCAGGCCCCCGGGCCUGGCGUUGGGGAUCGGCGGAAGCCCCCUGCGGGCACAACGCCGUCCCCCAAAUACAGUGGCGGUCCCGCCGCAGCUUCCAUUGCGUAGUAGCUAACACCUCGCAACUGGAGAGCGGCGCGGCCACGCCGUAAAACACCCAACUUCUGAAUGUUGACCUCGAAUCAGGUAGGAAUACCCACUGAACUUAAGCAUAUCAAUAAGCGGAGGA
rnacentral:misc_RNA from 1 species